rnacentral:misc_RNA from 1 species
CCCGGAGUUCCUUCAUGAGCCAUCCGUCCGACGCCGUACCCGUGACCACGUCCCUGAUCGAUCGCGCGGGGCUCGACCGGGAUGCCGUCCGCAAGGAAAUCGUGCGCGGGCGCCGAUGACGGCGAGUUAUUUCUUGAAUACCGCCAGUCCGAAGGGCUCGGUUUCGACAACGGCCGUCUGAAGCAGGCGACCUAUGAUACGGCCCAGGGUUUUGGCCUGCGCGCGGUCAAGGACGAUGCUGUCGGCUACGCCCAUUCCUCAGAUGUCG